GAAAGUAAGCAAGGGCGCAUGGCGGAUGCCUUGGCUCUCGGAGGCGAUGAAGGACGUGAUAAGCUGCGAUAAGCUUCGGGGAGGUGCAAAUAACCUUUGAUCCGGAGAUUUCCGAAUGGGACAACCCAAUAUCUUGAAGAGAUAUUAUCCAACUCAGUUGGAGGCUAACGCAGGGAACUGAAACAUCUUAGUACCUGCAGGAAAAGAAAAUAAUAAUGAUUCCCCCAGUAGUGGCGAGCGAACGGGGAAUAGCCCAAACCGGUUAUGUUACGGCAUAACCGGGGUAGUAGGACUACGGCAUUGCAUGAAAACAGCAGAGAAGAACUUUCUGGAAAGAAAGACCAUAGAGCAUGAUAGUUGCGUAUUCGAAUGUUGUCGAAGCAUAGUAGUAUCCUGAGUAGCGCGGAGCACGAGGAAUUCUGCGUGAAUCAGCCGGGACCAUCCGGUAAGGCUAAAUACUCCCGAGAGACCGAUAGUGAACCAGUACCGUGAGGGAAAGGUGAAAAGCACUUCGAACAGAAGAGUGAAAUAGUUCCUGAAACCGUGCGCCUACAAGCGGUCGGAGCAGCGUAAGCUGUGACGGCGUGCCUUUUGCAUAAUGAACCUACGAGUUACCGUUGCCGGCAAGGUUAAGGGUCAUGAGGCCUGUAGCCGAAGCGAAAGCGAGUCUGAACAGGGCGUAUAGUCGGUAGUGGUAGACGCGAAACCAAGUGAUCUACCCUUGAGCAGGUUGAAGUCCGGGUAACACCGGAUGGAGGACCGAACCAAUAAGCGUUGAAAAGCUUCUGGAUGACUUGAGGGUAGGGGUGAAAGGCUAAUCAAACUUGGAGAUAGCUCGUACUCCCCGAAAUGCAUUUAGGUGCAGCCUUGACCAUUACUAAUGUGAGGUAGAGCGACUGAUAAGAUGCGAGGGCUUCACCGCCUAUCAAGUCUUGAUAAACUCCGAAUGCGCAUUAGUUUGAGGUCAGGAGUGAGGGCAUGGGUGCUAAGGUCCGUGCCCGAGAGGAGAAGAAUCCGGACCACCUGCUAAGGUCCCGAAAUAACAGCUAAGUUAAACUAACGAAGUCAGAUUGCUAAGACAGCUAGGAUGUUGGCUUGGAAGCAGCCAUUCAUUUAAAGAGUGCGUAACAGCUCACUAGUCGAGGAGUUUGGCGUGGAUAAUAAUCGGGUAUUAAGCUGUUUACCGAAGCAGUGGGAUCAUAUAAUGAUCGGUAGGGGAGCAUUCCACUCUGCGUCGAAGGUGGGGCGUGAGUCCUGCUGGAGCGUGUGGAAAAGCAAAUGUAGGUAUAAGUAACGAUAAAGGGGGUGAGAAACCCCCUCGCCGCAAGACUCAGGUUUCCUGAUCAACGCUAAUCGGAUCAGGGUCAGUCGGGUCCUAAGGCUCAGCCGAACGGCGAGGCCGAUGGCAGAACCGGUUAAUAUUCCGGUACUACCCUUUGGGGUGACGUGGAGACGCAGUCGUGACAAUGCCGCCAGCUGACGGAAUAGCUGGUUAAAGGGUGUAGAAGUUGAUUGUGGCAGGCAAAUCCACCACAAGAUUCGAACCUGACAGUAUGGAGCGUCCUUCCGGACAAUCCAACAGUGCAUGUAAUCAUACUGCCAAGAAAAUCCGCUAAACAUAACCUUCAGGGUACCCGUACCGCAAACGGACACACGUAGUCGGGUUGAAUAUACUAAGGCGCUUGAGUGAUUCACGGUUAAGGAACUAGGCAAAUUAACCCUGUAACUUCGGGAAAAAGGGUCCCUACCCGUUAUCGGGAGGGCGCAGAGAAUCGGUCCAGGCAACUGUUUAACAAAAACACAGGGCUGUGCGAAGUCGAAAGACGCUGUAUACAGCCUGACACCUGCCCGGUGCUGGAAGGUUAAGAGGAGAUGUCAUCGCAAGAGAAGCAUUGAAUUGAAGCCCCAGUAAACGGCGGCCGUAACUAUAACGGUCCUAAGGUAGCGAAAUUCCUUGUCGGGUAAGUUCCGACCUGCACGAAUGGUGUAAUGAUCUGGACACUGUCUCAACCGUGAGCUCAGUGAAAUUGUAGUAUCGGUGAAG
rnacentral:rRNA from 1 species